UAGUGGCUCAGUUGGUAGAGCAUGAGACUCUUAGUCUCAAGGUCAUGGGUUUGAGCCUUGGGCAAAA